rnacentral:rRNA from 1 species
UACGGAGGGUGCGAGCGUUGUCCGGAAUCACUGGGCGUAAAGGGCGCGUAGGCGGCAAUUCAAGUCAGCUGUGAAAUCUCUGGGCUUAACCCAGAACGGCCAGCUGAUACUGCUUUGCUAGAGUGCAGAAGGGGCAAUCGGAAUUCUUGGUGUAGCGGUGAAAUGCGUAGAUAUCAAGAGGAACACCUGAGGUGAAGACGGGUUGCUGGGCUGACACUGACGCUGAGGCGCGAAAGCCAGGGGAGCAAACGGG